AACCUAGCACACCUGCGGUGUGUACCUGCGGAGGGAUCAUUAAAGAGUUACUACUCCAAAACCCUAUGUGAACUUCACUGUGCUGCCUCGGCAGGCGACCCCAGGGCGGGGUCCGCGGCCUCUUCGGAGGCGCCUGCCAGCGGGCAGACCAAAAAACUUCAAAUUCUUGUCUUCAGUGGGCUUCUGAGUGUUAAAAACAAAAAUCUUCAAAACUUUUAACAAUGGAUCUCAGAUCGGAAG
rnacentral:misc_RNA from 1 species